CCCUUGGAUGUUCUGGGCUGCACGCGUGCUACACUGAUAUUGCCAAUAUGUCAUUCUUAUCCGAAAUGGAUUGGGUAAUCAAGUAAUGAAAUUUCAUGCUUGGAAUCGGUAAUUGCAAUUUUAUCGUGAACGAGGAAUUCCUAGUAAGCACUAGUCAUCAGCUAAUGUUGAUUAUGUCCCUGCCCUUUGUACACACCGCCCGUCGCUACUACUGAUUGGGUGUUCAAGUGAGAUGCUUAGACCCUUGUUGCAUGGUUCAUUAUUGUGCUCCGAAAGGAAAAAGUUUCAAGCUUGAGUGUCUAGAGGAAGUAAAAGUCGUAACA
rnacentral:rRNA from 1 species